rnacentral:misc_RNA from 1 species
GAAAUGCGAUAAGUAAAGCGAAUUGCAGAAUUCAGUGAAUCAUCGAAUCUUUGAACGCACAUUGCGCCCGCUAGUAUUCUGGCGGGCAUGCCUGUCUGAGCGUCAUUUCAACCCUCAUUCCCGGCUUCGUGUCGGGGAUGGUGUUGGGGAUCGGCCUCCCGGUUGCGGGCGGCCGGCCCCGAAAUAGAGUGGCGACCACGCCGUAGCCUCCUCUGCGUAGUAGUGAAAACCUCGCAGGCGGAGUGCGGUGCGGCCUGCCGUAAAACCCCCAACUCUUCUAAGGUUGACCUCAGAUCAGGUAGGAAUACCCGCUGAACUUAAGC